UGCAGUUCGCUUUUGCCUGCCUGAGGAGAUUGGCAGGGCAGCCACGCCCCUUCAGGCAGGCCCCGUCCAGGCCGACCGGGUGCUCAAGCGGCGUAAGGGUCGCUGUGUCCAGCAGUCUGCUCUGGGCGUGGACUGACACGCCUUCUCGGCCGCGAUACUGCCUACCUGACCUUGAGCUGCUAGCUGUCUACCUGCAGGACUGUAGGGUUGCCAACCGCCAGGUGGAGCCUGGAGAUCUGGAAUCUCCAAGGCUACGAGGAUCCUUCACCAGGAGAACAUGGAAGUUUCCAUGGGAUUCUCUGGCCUGCUAUCCGGUUAGGUCCCCCCAGGCGCUGCCUCUCUUAGAGCUCCAGGAACUUAUUACUAAUAAUAAUACGUCUGCAUUGUAAGAAUCAAGUGGAGAGUCUUGUCCAUAUUAUACUUGACUGUCCGAGAUAUGUGGGUAUCAGAAAUUUCUCUCCUUGUCUGGUUUUAGAUAAAACUGUAAGUGACUCUGAUAGUUCUGCCUUGGGGCUCCUGUUAAAUAACUCAGACGUUGUGGUCUUGGAAAAAAUGGCAAAAUUUAUCUUACAAGUGAUGGAAUUCUGUUCUGCAGAAUUGCAUCCUUGGUCCAGUCAGAAAAGUGCACACUCAUCUACCCAAGAGAACUGCUGACAAGAAAAAGAUGGCGAAACACCCAAGCCCAGAGCUUCCCUACUCGGAGUUGGCAACCUAGUUCACUGCCUCGCAGGACUGUUGUGAGGGCACAGGUGGAACUCUGCCCCCUUUUCCCACUGCCUCAUCACAACAGCCCAACUAGGAAGUGAGGAAUUAAAGGCAACUGCUCUAGGAUCUGGUCUGUUUCCAGAAACAGUUGAACUACCUGGUCCGUUGAUAACUCACUUUAACCUGAUUGCCCUAAUACAUGUUGAUAUUAUUCUUUCCAAAUAUUAGAUUCAAGUCCAGGAGCACCUUAAAGACCAAUAAAGUUUCAGGUUAUAAUCUUUCAAGAGACAAAGUUCCCUUCAUCAGACAGGACAAAGAGACCUUGACUCUCAAAAGCUUACACCCUGAAAAUAUACUGGUCUUUAAGGUGCUACUGGACUCGAAUCUAGUUCCUACUGCAGACCAAAAUGGCAACCUUCUGAAACUAUUUCCAGAUGUUGUGAUCCCCGCUGAUGUUGCCUGCAAAAAACCUUGUUGGGGGAAGAUGCGUGGGCUGCUCAUUUGCACAAUCGAGUGAGGGAGUUUUCUCGUCUUUAGAGGAGGGAGUUAUUUGCCUGUUGUUGAACUGAAUAGCAUAGCCUUUAUUGACAUAACGAAAAAACCACAACUAACAUAAAUAAUAUUAAAACAGGCGAUAAAACUCAGGUAAAUAUAAAUAAAUUACAAACUCUGAAUCAUUUCCAUGAGAAAAUUUGCUACCUCUUCACAAAAAAAGCAGAAUCUGAAUUAUUCAACAAGAGAAAUAAUCUGAACCAAUCUGUUAACUUAGGUUGAAAAAGAGGAGAUAAACGAACAUACUUGGAUCUAAUUUUGGCAAGUGUAGUACAUUGUAAUAACCAGUGUUUCAACUUGAUUGGAAUGACAGCUGCAUAGCCUCUUCUAUUUUUCGAUCUGCCUGUUGUUGAAGAAACAGUUUUCAAAGAAUGAUGACCGGCUUGAAAUCUGGGGUGCGAUGAUUGAGCAUGUGAUGGCAAAGCAAGUUUAUCAUCGGUUACAAUGUGACUUUAGUUAUGUGUGUGAGCCGCCCUGAACCAGGCUUUGGCUGGGGAGGGCAGGACAUCAAGUUGAAUACAGUACAUAAAAACAAAUCUGUCCUUUCACUCUGGCUUCAGGAUGGGGUAUGGGAUGAUAUGGUAACCCCACUGGAUGAUCUGUGUGUGAGCCUGGAUAAAAGCUGUGCUGUUUUGUUAAGUCAAUCUUUAUUAAGGUCACAAACCAGCAUAAAGUAAAGGAUAAACCAUAUUCCAGGGUAAAAAAUAGUUAAACAGUAGAUCUGUAUCUAAAAGGAACCAAAGCAAAACCUACUGGUAAAAGGAAGCUGGGGGUACAAAAAGCAAGGGAAUAUAAAGGAAACAAUGCAAGCAUAAAUACCAAAGAAGAAUUAAAAUGUGGGGGAAAGCCAUAAUAAA